UAGACGGAUCCAAAAAUAUAAAAAAUCUAAAAUAAUAAUGCUAAAGUUCGGAUAUCCACAUCCAUAUUCAUUUUUUUCGCCUAUCCAAAAAAUUUAACUCUAUAAAACCAUAUCUGUAUCUAUAUCUUAUCGGAUCCAGAUAUUUUCUAUCCGGAUCUGGAUAUUAUCGAAUACGGAUACAGAUAUUAAUUUUCGGAUAAUAUCCUAUCCGUUUUCACUCCUAGCAUAUAUAAACACAUCGAUAUUUAAUUAGCUCAAAGCUACCACUUAAUUAGCUCAAACAAGACAUUCUAUAGGGGGUAGUACAGGAUCAAAUGUCUCAAAUUACUAAUGGAAAGCUUUAGAUUUUAAUUUUAGGGUAAAUUUCAGUUUACUUUCUGUGGUUUAUCUCAUUUUUACUUUACUAUUUUGUGGUUGGAAAAGUUAUAUUUAACUAUUCUGUGAUUUAGUUCAUUUUCACUUUACUGUCCUGUAAUUUAAAAAAUUGUACUUAACUAUAUAUUUUCUAUUUAGUUAACAAAAAAAUUUAUUAAUUACUAUACAAUCUGAUAUAUAGUAUAUUUUUA
rnacentral:lncRNA from 1 species